rnacentral:rRNA from 1 species
UACAGAGGGGGGCAAGCGUUGUUCGGAAUUACUGGGCGUAAAGGGCGCGUAGGCGGCCUGCUAAGUCGAACGUGAAAUCCCUGGGCUCAACCCAGGAACUGCGUCCGAUACUGGUUGGCUUGAAUCCGGGAGAGGGAUGUGGAAUUCCAGGUGUAGCGGUGAAAUGCGUAGAUAUCUGGAGGAACACCGGUGGCGAAGGCGACAUCCUGGACCGGUAUUGACGCUGAGGCGCGAAAAGCGUGGGGGAUCAAACAGG